CCUACGGGGGGCUGCAGUGAGGAAUAUUGGUCAAUGGUCGGGAGACUGAACCAGCCAAGCCGCGUGAGGGAUGAAGGUACAGAGUAUCGUAAACCUCUUUUGGCAGGGAACAAAGGCGGGGACGCGUCCCCGGAUGAGUGUACCUGAAGAAAAAGCAUCGGCUAACUCCGUGCCAGCAGCCGCGGUAAUACGGAGGAUGCGAGCGUUAUCCGGAUUUAUGGGGGUUAAAGGGUGCGAGGGCGUCCUGUUAAGUCAGCGGUAAAAGCCCGGGGCUCAACCCCGGCCCGCCGUUGAAACUGGCAGUCUCGAGUUGGAGAGAGGUAUGCGGAAUGCGCGGUGUAGCGGUGAAAUGCAUAGAUAUCGCGCAGAACUCCGAUUGCGAAGGCAGCCUGCCGGCUCCACACUGACGCUGAGGCACGAAAGCGUGGGUAUCGAACAGGAUUAGAUACCCGGGUAGUC
rnacentral:rRNA from 1 species